CACACACACACACACACACACACACACACACACACACACACACACACACACACACACACACACACACACACACACACACACACACACACACACACACGCACAGAGACGCGCGCGGGCGCGGCACACAAACACCCAGGAGCAAGAGUGAGGACGAUCCGUGUCUAUUAUGGGUUCCAUGGAGCCAGCGGUCUGGGGACCAGAAAUGGAUCCAUGUCCGUCCAGAUCCUUUUACGUCACACUCUUACGCUCCCGUGGCGUCACCCUAACCAGAAGUUUUGAGUUUUGCAGACGGCGUCCUCAGCCUCGCGGGCCGCGACACAGCAGGACGAGUGAUGCUCGUGGGAUCUUCACCCGUGAGCGGGAUGAGUGGAGAACACAAAGCCCUCCUCCAUCCUCCUCCCAGUGGGCCUAGAGAAUGCCCUGAUCAGCCAACCGUCUGUCUUCCAUCGGGACGUACAGGUCAACUAUUGAGUUUGUCUCUGAAGCAUCUCUCCACCCACCACUCCACCUCCACCCUUUUUUUGUGUGUGGCCAAAAGCGAACAAUAAAAAUCAAAAGAUCCCUCCUGAACCAACCAACCCACCCUGAGUCAUCUAUGCAGAAUACCUCAAGCAAAAUGAGGAUGCUGUAGUUCCCCAACAACUGUAAUACUUUGAGCAUCAAAUACCAUUUUAAUUAUUUAUCAGGCUCAACAGUUCAAUAGACGUCUCUAUUGUGUUUUUAUCAAUUUUGCCG
ensembl:lncRNA